rnacentral:rRNA from 1 species
UACGGAGGUGGCAAGCGUUGUUCGGAAUUACUGGGCGUAAAGGGCGCGUAGGCGGCCUUCUAAGUCAGACGUGAAAUCCCCCGGCUUAACCUGGGAACUGCGUCUGAUACUGGAGGGCUUGAGUGCGGGAGAGGGAUGUGGAAUUCCAGGUGUAGCGGUGAAAUGCGUAGAUAUCUGGAGGAACACCGGUGGCGAAGGCGGCGUCCUGGGCCGACACUGACGCUGAGGCGCGAAAGCGAGGGUAGCAAACGGG